rnacentral:rRNA from 1 species
GACGAACGCUGGCGGCGCGCUUAACGCAUGCAAGUCGAACGGAAAGGCCUGCUUUCCCUUGUGGAUUGCGGGUACUCGAGUGGCGAACGGGUGAGUAACACGUGAGUGAUCUGCCCCCAACUUGGGUAUAAGCCUGGGAAACUGGGUCUAAUUCCCGAUAGGACUGCAGGGUGGUGCCUGUGGUGGAAAACGAUUUUCUAGUGGUUGGGGAUGAGCUCGCGGCCUAUCAGCUUGUUGGUGGGGUAAUGGCCUACCAAGGCGGCGACGGGUAGCCGGCCUGGGAGGGGGGACGGCCACAUUGGGACUGAGAUACGGCCCAGACUCCUACGGGAGGCAGCAGUGGGGAAUAAUGCACAAUGGGCGGAAGCCUGAUGCAGCGACGCCGCGUGGGGGAUGACGGCCUUCGGGUUGUAAACUCCUUUCGACCGCGAGGAAGCCACCUGGUUGGAAGGGUGGUGACGGUAGUGGUAGAAGAAGCACCGGCUAACUACGUG